rfam:Triticum aestivum genome assembly, contig: Triticum_aestivum_CS42_TGACv1_scaffold_225356_3B
ACGACCUUACUUGAACAGGAUCUGUUCUAUAGUAGUCGUACCGCUGCAUCCUUUAUCAAUAAGGAGGCAAGCACUUAAGCCUGGUUGAUGACAUGACACCUGUGGGCCAGAGCGUGAUUAACGGCAGGAUCAUCAUCAGUUGAGAUGAUCUAUAUGGCUGUAGAGGGUCGUCUUCCUGUUCAGCACUAGCUGACCAGGUUGUCUGACAGGGC